rnacentral:rRNA from 1 species
AUGAACGCUGGCGGCGUGCCUAAUACAUGCAAGUCGAGCGAACGGACGAGAAGCUUGCUUCUCUGAUGUUAGCGGCGGACGGGUGAGUAACACGUGGAUAACCUACCUAUAAGACUGGGAUAACUUCGGGAAACCGUAGCUAAUACCGGAUAAUAUUUUGAACCGCAUGGUUCAAAAGUGAAAGACGGUCUUGCUGUCACUUAUAGAUGGAUCCGCGCUGCAUUAGCUAGUUGGUAAGGUAACGGCUUACCAAGGCAACGAUGCAUAGCCGACCUGAGAGGGUGAUCGGCCACACUGGAACUGAGACACGGUCCAGACUCCUACGGGAGGCAGCAGUAGGGAAUCUUCCGCAAUGGGCGAAAGCCUGACGGAGCAACGCCGCGUGAGUGAUGAAGGUCUUCGGAUCGUAAAACUCUGUUAUUAGGGAAGAACAUAUGUGUAAGUAACUGUGCACAUCUUGACGGUACCUAAUCAGAAAGCCACGGCUAACUACGUU